rnacentral:rRNA from 1 species
CUCAUCUCCGGGGGUAGAGCACUGUUUCGGCUAGGGGGCCAUCCCGGCUUACCAACCCGAUGCAAACUGCGAAUACCGGAGAAUGUUAUCACGGGAGACACACGGCGGGUGCUAACGUCCGUCGUGAAGAGGGAAACAACCCAGACCGCCAGCUAAGGUCCCAAAGUCAUGGUUAAGUGGGAAACGAUGUGGGAAGGCCCAGACAGCCAGGAUGUUGGCUUAGAAGCAGCCAUCAUUUAAAGAAAGCGUAAUAGCUCACUGGUCGAGUCGGCCUGCGCGGAAGAUGUAACGGGGCUAAACCAUGCACCGAAGCUGCGGCAGCGACACUCAGGUGUUGUUGGGUAGGGGAGCGUUCUGUAAGCCUG